CGCUAGCUACAGGCUUAACACAUGCAAGUCGAGGGGCAGCAUUGGAGUAGCAAUACUCAGAUGGCGACCGGCGCACGGGUGAGUAACACGUAUCCAACCUGCCGCUUACUCGGGGAUAGCCUUUCGAAAGAAAGAUUAAUACCCGAUGGUAUAAAGAGUUCGCAUGUUCUCUUUAUUAAAGAAUUUCGGUAAGCGAUGGGGAUGCGUUCCAUUAGAUAGUUGGCGGGGUAACGGCCCACCAAGUCUACGAUGGAUAGGGGUUCUGAGAGGAAGGUCCCCCACAUUGGAACCGAGACACGGUCCAAACUCCUACGGGAGGCAGCAGUGAGGAAUAUUGGUCAAUGGACGAGAGUCUGAACCAGCCAAGUAGCGUGAAGGAUGACUGCCCUAUGGGUUGUAAACUUCUUUUAUAAGGGAAUAAAGUGAGGGACGUGUCCCUUUUUGUAUGUACCUUAUGAAUAAGGAUCGGCUAACUCCGUGCCAGCAGCAGC
rnacentral:rRNA from 1 species